rnacentral:rRNA from 1 species
CGCGUAGGCCGUUGAGUUAGUUAAUUGUGAAAUCCCAAAGCUUAACUUUGGAACUGCAAUUAAAACUGCUCGACUAGAGUUUGAUAGAGGAAAGCGGAAUACAUAGUGUAGAGGUGAAAUUCGUAGAUAUUAUGUAGAACACCAGUUGCGAAGGCGGCUUUCUGGAUCAACACUGACGCUGAGGCGCGAAAGUAUGGGUAGCAAAGA